AAGGGUGAGCCCUGGGAGAGUCCCGCGAGUGGCCGGGUUGUCGCCGCUGGCCGAGCAGGAGUCGGAGAGACCCGCGGAGAGAAGCGGCCCUUCCUGCUCGCUAGUCACCCCCAGCAGUUCCCCCCGAUCCUGCGCCACUGUCCGGUUGAACUGAACUGUCCCUUUGAUUGCAGGGACAGCGGAAGCCCCCCAGAGCCGGGUCAGAAACAAGACAAUCACACAGAUAAUGAAAUAAACAGACCAGCUGGACGCUCAGUCACCAGGAGUGGAGAAAGUGUAACAGCAGCUCACAGCAGAGACGCACAAUUCCACACGUGCAGGUUGUCGGAGAAUUACGGCAUCUCCGACGCGUCGUGACGUCACCCCCGUCCAAUCACGUCACAACAACUAUCCCCCCCCCCCGAACUAUCAAUAUGAAAUAUCGAUCGUUAUCACUGAUCAGUAACACAGCUGCUAUGAACAAUAACACACCCGCGCUUCGAAACGUACUGCUACCGCCAGACUGCUCGUGAUGAGCAGACGAGCUGGACUGAGUGUCCUGGUCACGGGCCGUGACGGAACGACUGUCUCUUCAAAGCACUGACCGCACGAGACGCGAGCGACGCCACGCUCCCACCGCACGCGCCGUGGGCUGUCCCGGGCUGUGCAGCGCGACCGGACCGGGACACCUCGAGCUGAAGGGCACCCCCCUCCUGCCUACAGUACACGAGGCGGGACGUGGGGGCGCGUCGCUCGUGUUGACACCGCUGAGGCACACGCGUGGACAGGAGCCCACUGCUGCCACCAGUGAAGACACCCCGUUUCCUCUGCCUGCCUGCACCCCAAUCCGAGAGGAAAGAGAACACAGAAGUCAGAAGCAAGACCUUGGCGUUUUUGUAAUAACUUUUAAUCUGCAAUACUUUCCUCCCGAUUUCUUUAGAGAUGAAACUGUGUCCCUGAAACUGACAGGACAGACCAAUACUGGACAGCCGAGACACAGCGGCCCAGGAUGGACACACUUUCCCCUUCAAGAACACUUUCAACAGGAGAGUUUAAAAACAACGAACACCUACAUACAGUCCAUACGCAGUGCCCGACCGGCUUCUCCAACCCCCUGCCGAAACGAGAACAAAAACCAUGACAUUCAAGACCGAGUCCUGGAUAAUGGCAGUUAAAAAAAAAAAGAUUCUAAUGUUGUUUAUACUGUAAUCACAAUUGCAAUGCC